AGGAAGGCCUGGCCGAGCGCAACCUUUUGUCAGAAAUUCAAAAUUUUUAUUUUUAUUUCUUUAUUUUAUUUUAAGAAAAAGAUGAAGCGAAAAUUGAUACCUAUUCCGCCAGAGACGACACCUGUUAAGACAAAGACGCCAUCCUGGGCCACCACCAAAGGCCCGCCACUGUCGCCCUGUGCACACGCCAAAUCAACGACGAGGCGUCUUGACCGCCUUGCGGCCAUCCGGCGCAGAUUUUGGUCUUGUCGAUUGGAAUGGCGUAACCGGCCGUGAGGAAACGUUUUUCGCAUUCAGUCCGGCUCAUCAAUGGCACCUGGACUCGAUGCAAUUUGCUGCUCAUGUUGACACCUUCCUCGUCGUUCCAUCCCCAACCGGCUACUGUGCCCAGCUGAUCCAUUGCCGCCCGAUCCUCUCGUUCAUCGACUAAAUCAAAAGGAUUUUUUCAAUCCCGUUGGUUUGCAUGUGGCUCUGCUGCUGCUGCUGUUCUGGCUGGGAAAAUGUGUUAUCUGAGCGCACACAUCUCCGUCCAUUCGCCGAUGUAUUCUCUCUUCUAAAUGGCAACUCUCCGCUGGCGGUUGAAUCGAUAAAACGCCAAGUUCAUUAUCAUUCUCUCUCUCCUUUUCCCUAGCUCUCCAUUUUGACUCUGUGUCUGUCUCUAUGUAGACAUCAUAUCAAUAGAGCAGAAGAAGAACCACCACCACCCCUGUCGGUUUGUCGUAACAGUUUGGGUCGAAGCAAAACACCACCACCGAAAAAAGAAGAGAGAAAAGAAGUUGGAGGGGAAAGAACAAAACCGCACACGUAUAAAUCCCCCAGUGUGGAAAAGAAAAAGACUUUUGAUGACGACGGGAAUGCAAAUCUAAAAAAAGGGUCGGCGGGAGUUUAAAAAACCCGACACCGUAAGUCCCCCCCCCAACCCAACCCCAUCCACCACCCAACCACACGGCGACGUCGUUUUCUCCUCUUCUUUCUUCUUUCGUGUUGAUGGCAGAGAGAGAAAGAGAAAGAGAGAGAAUGGAGGAGCGAAAAAUCGAUAAAUGAGUUUGAUUGCUCUCCCUCGUCCCUCACUCUCUUUUGCUUUCAGCCACUCGACGACGCGUUUGGUUACGAGUCGCCGGCGGGCGAUUUGACGCAUGGGAAAAGCCACGCUUUUAAAUCGGCUGGAUGGAGGGUGUCACCCAGUUGUAUUAUGACGACGACCCAUUCUGAUUCCAAUGAAAUCAAUGCGACGACAACAACAAUUCAAGUGUCGGUGCGUUCACCUGGAAGCGACAACCCCCUGGAAGAAACGGCCGCCACCACCCAAUCGAUGCCAUAACAGUUGGCAAAACUUUUUUUCUCCUGAAUUUUACCAACCCAAAAAGAAAAGAAGAAAAUCCCAGGCAAAGUCGGUCGGUUGUAUGACGGGACUGUGAUGUUUGCGCUCUCAUCUCUCCCGACCGCACCGCCGCCGCCGCCUCUUUUGUUUAAACAUUCUCCCCUCUGUGUCCCACUUUUUAUUCUCUCGCCUCUUCCCACUGUUCUGUAUGUGUACAUCAGACAAGAGAAGAAGAAGAAGAAGAAGAGGAAUUGAAUUCAUUCGACAAGUUGUGCGCGUCCCUUUUUCUAUUGACGUCAACGCCGCCGAUUGUCUUUGCGCCGCCCAACGCCAAGAACAAGAAGAAGAAUUGCCUCUUUUUCUUCUACUUUCUAGAGUCGAGUUUUAUAAAAAGCUCAUUACCUUUUGAACUCUGGAGAAAAUGAAGAAUUGAACGACGGGCGUUUGCCGCGCAGCGCUAAGAGAAAAUAGAAGAAGAACCCCACCAUGCCAAAACUUUUAUUUCUUCCAUAAUAAAAUAAUCUCCUCCGUCAUCGCAGCAAUAGAUGAAGUAGAAAGAAGCUCCCCCCUUCCUCAUUGUGAAUAUUACAAUCAAAGUUCAUUGUUCGUGAAAAAGCACAGCCUGGGAUAUUGCCAUCAUCCCCCUUGAUGCAUUUUUAAAAUUCUACUAAAUUAGUUAGAGACGUAAAAGGGAGGAAAAAGAAAGUAAUUGAAUUUUUCAUCACAUCUUUCUUUUAGAGACUUUUAUGAAAUAGGAGGUCGCUAGGUAUAGACUCUCAUGCUUGGCUAAUGGACUCAUCACGAGUAUUUUCCGAUAUAUAGACGGACGGUGAAUUUAUCCACCGGCAUAUAGACGUUUAAUAAUUUUUUGAUUACCUGCCG
rnacentral:lncRNA from 1 species